UUUUAUAUAGGAUUGAAAGAAAAUUAACUCCUUUAUUAAAAACAAAUUUAUCUGUAUUUGUUUUGCCUAUUUUUCCCAGUUUUCCAGUUGUAGAUUCUGCUGCCAGAGAUUCAGCUCUGGUUCCGCUGAGGUGUGUAUUUAUGAGCUACUUGUUAGAAUCAGUGUCUAAAACCCAGCGAAUCUGGUAGAAAUAGCCUCACUUCCAAGGACAGGACCUGCGUGCUCCAGAGUAGGACCCGGUGGGUCACGUCCGAGGGCCCGGAAGCCGAGCUCAGGCCUUGCCCUCAGCCUGGGGCUCCCCACGUCGGACACAGAUGGACUUGCGCAGCGUGGACGCCGGGCUCCCGUCCGUGCAGAGGCACAGGGGCACCCCUGGGAGAGGGAAGGCAGAAGUUCCUGUGGGCGUGUCCUGAGGCCACACCGGAGCGGGGCCGGCGGCUGGAGUUCAGCACCACGGUCAGCACCCUCCAACUAAUGUCAACCUUGAG